AUCUUUUCCUAGAUGGCGGCACAGUAUCGUGUUCUUGUCUCGUAUUAUAUGGCGCCCAGUUUCGUACGCUGAUAGGUGUGUGAAAAUGUUUCUGCUGUAUGUUAAAAAUUUGAAGUGGAUUCAGAAUACAAUCAACAAGACACGCAGUCUUGAUGGUACCUCAUUACUAGCUGCAAGUGUUUUGUGGACAUGUAUGACAGCUGUGUGGGAAUUGCUGAAUGCUGACUCCUGGAGAAUGAAUGUGCUAGUAACAACCUUGUCUCCUCAUACACCAUCGGUUGAUGCUGAUUUUAGAAGCGUGUACAAGAGUCACCUGUACAAAGUUCAUACUGUGGUGCUAAAACAAUAGUUUUGAUACUGUUUCCCAAAUCCUAUUCAGAAGGAUGGUAGAUUGUAGUUUCUUAUUUCACAAAAUAAGGGUAAAUGGUCAUUAUGAUACUUAUCUUUGAAAAAAAACACUCAACUUUAAUAAAGAGAACGAUUUUCAUAACAUUUUGUCUUAACCUCGCAGGCUGUGCCGCGCACAAUGCACCAGUAUUAAACAGACGGUAGUAACAUCACAGAAUUUUAACUUUUUAGAAACUGGCAUAAAAACGGAUUAUAAAUCAUUUAGUUCUUUGCCAACAAAUACAGUGAUCUGAGAUGCAACCCAUUGGGUAAUAAUGUGCUGUGGUCCUCUUGUCGCAAUGAACCUAAUUCUGUCACCUGCAAACAAGCAAUAUUUUGUUAGUUACAGCUUGCAAUAAAAUACAUUACAGAAGAUAAAUUAAGGUUCAUACACCUAAGUUAUUUGUGGAAAAUUCUUAAAAUCAAAAGGACAAUACAUUUAUCUGACUAUAAUCCUACUAUAUCAGGCAUUAUACCAGUAUCUUACUGAAUAUCUUGUCAACAUUAUAUUGAAAAGUUAAGAAUUACAUAUCAUAAAAAGGAACAAUUAUACUGUGCUAGUACAUAUACUAUUUGUUCCCAAUAGACUAAACUUAAUAUUACAAAAUUAAAUAAAGUCAACGCUGUA